UACGACUGUUGCCAUGUUUCUCCCUUUGAGAAAAGAAUGAAAGGACAAGAAAGAAUUCUUUCUAGCUUUCUAUCCCAAGUGACCUUGAGACAUGAUCAUGGGAGUUGGCUGCUGUGUGAAGAAGAGAUUAGAAAAAAUUAGGAUGACAUGGGACAGGAAGGGUAGCCCUCCCACCGUAAGCGCUCCAGAAAGUUAGUUACAUGGUAGUGUUGCCUCAGGACAAUGGAUCAUUCAUCUCCCUGACUCCCAGGUCCAACAGGGGACACAGAAGAGACAGAUGCCUUGCCUGCGUUCACCUGGAGAAAGUUUGUUUAGAUGACAGAAUAACCCUGGGUAUAUUCCAGCUCAGCAAGCUUGAAAUGACUCUGGGGACUUGGCCUGGCCAAAGCACAGUUCUGAAAUCUUUUCUUUGUUGUCGAAUUGUUAGAGUUUUAACAAUGAAGCUAAAGGGGUUGCUUUUAGUGAGAGGUAGGAGAAUAAAACUUCACAGGGGCACAGCAAUUAGCGUGUGGACUAGAUCCCUAUGACGGAGAAAAACCUGCAGCAUUUUGUAAGAUGAUUUAUUAGACAUGGGUAGAAUUUGCUAGAAACCUACCAGGAGCAAAUCAUCUGGGAAGGAAUUAAUGAUCCAAACAAAACACUUGAUAAUGCAAUUAGAACUUGAGGAAACGUAGGGGUUUUUCAGAGAGAGAGAGGGGAGUUCAUGUACAUGACUUUGAUUAUGUCAAAUGUAAGGCUGGAAAAAGGAUGUUAACAAGUUUUUAAAGAGUAAAGUUAUCAGAGGGUACAAGGAGAUGACGGGGGUGACAUUUAUAGUUCUGAUGCAUCAGUGUAGUUAUCAAGUGUGCCCAGCUGGGUGGAAAUGCACUUGCAGCUUUGUCUCAGCAAAAUGGUGUGUGGGUCUGAGAAACAGAAAUGAGCAUGCUGGAGGCAAAAAUACGGAUCCCCUGCACACGCAACGGCAGAGAACAGCCACCAGGAGAACGCGGUGUUUUUCUUUAGUUGCUUUAGGCAACACUAAGUUUCCCCCUGCUUUUGUUUGGGUCAGGGAUUUUUUUUCCUUUAAAUCUUUUCUCAGUUGAGUUUAAAACUGUGAGUAUGAAGCUCUCUAAGCUUUUCUUUGACCUCGUUUCAUCGUGCCUUACAGAUGAGCUCAUUGAAAAACGUGUUUUGCAGCGGUACCAUCCGCUGAGUAUGUCCAGAGGACAUUUCUGGCCAUAUACGUGUCUUAAUUGCUAUCGCAGGCUUGGCAUAUCAACUAUAUCUGGGUCUAACAUAGGCUAUCUUUUGUUGAUAUAAACAUAUAUGUUUUUAAAUGUGUAAUUUGAAAAUAUGUUCCCUUCAUCAGCUUUUUAGUUUGGAGGGGGAUGUGGUUAACAUUUUUAAUGACUUUCCAAAACAUUUCUUCUUUAAAAUAUACAUUGCAGAGUCAUACACCACCAUCCACACAGAGCUUUCAUACUUUCCUAAGUGUUUUCACUUGCUUUAGCUCCAGGAAUAUGUGUCAAACUUGGGAUAGCCCCUUAGAAACAUGGCCCUCUCUGGAUACGAGACAGUGUAGGACACAGAUGCACAUUAAAGUAUUAUCAGUGAAAUGCUUUUCCUAGAAAUCCAUGACUCCUUCUGUCUUGGAGACUAUGCCUGGCUGACACUGACUGCUCCAUAUUGAGAUGACUCAGGAAGCCCAGCCUGGCCAUCGUAACUGGGUCCCAUCCUCUGUUUUGUUCCCCUUGCACUUGGCACUGGCCACCCCAAGUGCUGGCUGCGCUGGUGCAUUUUCAUCUGUGUGAUAAAACUUGGUGGAUGUUUUCCUCCAUCUAAGACCAGGACCUUGUUAGUUGGACCACUGCAGUCCUGCCAGUGGAUGCCCCUACUUGGCACACUGGAGGUGUCCAAUAAAUACCCUACUGAACAAAUACUGAAUCUGAGAAUUUUCCCUAAAAGUACUGCAUAUUUCCACCACCAUAUAUUGUUUUUAAGAAGCUUUGGCUUUACAUACUUCUGUUGAAACCCUUAUUCUCCACUGUUCCUUUCAAGAAAAUGAUGUAGCACCAAUGAUCUCUGAAGAUGUCCACAUAAGUUGACCUUUCUGGAUCUAUUCCCAUCAUUUUAACUGUCCCCCAAGAGACUUUCAACCCAUAAAGAUGACCCUCUUUGACCCAAUUUUGGAAGCCUGGCUGCCCCCACCUUCUCUAGAAAUGCUGGCUUUUUCCUUCAACCCCUAGAUUGGCCUAUUAGACAAUAGAGUCAUCUCCCCAUAUCCAUGAGAUAUUGGCUCCAGUAUCUUCCCAAAUCCAUGAAUUCUCAAGUUCCUGAUAUAAAAUGGCACACAGAGUAUUUGCAUCCUCCCAUAUAGUUUAAAUCACAUGGCCAUAUACUUGUCCUAAUUGCUAUUGUAGGCUUGGCAUACCAACUACAUCCUCCCAUAUACUUUACAUCACCUCUAGAUUAUUUAUAAUACCUAAUACAAUGCCUACAUCAUGGGAA
rnacentral:lncRNA from 1 species